AUGGACGCAGUCUGAUGGAGCAACGCCGCGUGAGUGAAGAAGGGUUUCGGCUCGUAAAGCUCUGUUGGUAGUGAAGAAAGAUAGAGGUAGUAACUGGCCUUUAUUUGACGGUAAUUACUUAGAAAGUCACGGCUAACUACGUGCCAGCAGCCGCGGUAAUACGUAGGUGGCAAGCGUUGUCCGGAUUUAUUGGGCGUAAAGCGAGUGCAGGCGGUUCAAUAAGUCUGAUGUGAAAGCCUUCGGCUCAACCGGAGAAUUGCAUCAGAAACUGUUGAACUUGAGUGCAGAAGAGGAGAGUGGAACUCCAUGUGUAGCGGUGGAAUGCGUAGAUAUAUGGAAGAACACCAGUGGCGAAGGCGGCUCUCUGGUCUGCAACUGACGCUGAGGCUCGAAAGCAUGGGUAGCGAACAGGAUUAGAUACCCUGGUAGUCCAUGCCGUAAACGAUGAGUGCUAAGUGUUGGGAGGUUUCCGCCUCUCAGUGCUGCAGCUAACGCAUUAAGCACUCCGCCUGGGGAGUACGACCGCAAGGUUGAAACUCAAAGGAAUUGACGGGGGCCCGCACAAGCGGUGGAGCAUGUGGUUUAAUUCGAAGCAACGCGAAGAACCUUACCAGGUCUUGACAUCCAGUGC
rnacentral:rRNA from 1 species